rnacentral:rRNA from 1 species
GUUUGAUUAUGGGUCAAGACGAACGCUGGGGGCGUGCUUAACACAUGCCAGUCCAACGGAAAGGCCCCUUCGGGGGUGCUCGAGUGGCGAACGGGUGAGUAACACGUGGGUGAUCUGCCCUGCACUUUGGGAUAAGCCUGGGAAACUGGGUCUAAUACCGAAUACACCCUGCUGGUCGCAUGGCCUGGUGGGGGAAAGCUUUUGCGGUGUGGGAUGGGCCCGCGGCCUAUCAGCUUGUUGGUGGGGUGAUGGCCUACCAAGGCGACGACGGGUAGCCGGCCUGAGAGGGUGUCCGGCCACACUGGGACUGAGAUACGGCCCAGACUCCUACGGGAGGCAGCAGUGGGGAAUAUUGCACAAUGGGCGCAAGCCUGAUGCAGCGACGCCGCGUGGGGGAUGACGGCCUUCGGGUUGUAAACCUCUUUCAGUACCGACGAAGCGCAAGUGACGGUAGGUACAGAAGAAGCACCGGCCAACUACGUGCCAGCAGCCGCGGUAAUACGUAGGGUGCGAGCGUUGUCCGGAAUUACUGGGCGUAAAGAGCUCGUAGGUGGUUUGUCGCGUUGUUCGUGAAAACUCACAGCUUAACUGUGGGCGUGCGGGCGAUACGGGCAGACUGGAGUACUGCAGGGGAGACUGGAAUUCCUGGUGUAGCGGUGGAAUGCGCAGAUAUCAGGAGGAACACCGGUGGCGAAGGCGGGUCUCUGGGCAGUAACUGACGCUGAGGAGCGAAAGCGUGGGGAGCGAACAGGAUUAGAUACCCUGGUAGUCCACGCCGUAAACGGUGGGUACUAGGUGUGGGUUUCCUUCCUUGGGAUCCGUGCCGUAGCUAACGCAUUAAGUACCCCGCCUGGGGAGUACGGCCGCAAGGCUAAAACUCAAAGGAAUUGACGGGGGCCCGCACAAGCGGCGGAGCAUGUGGAUUAAUUCGAUGCAACGCGAAGAACCUUACCUGGGUUUGACAUGCACAGGACGCCGGCAGAGAUGUCGGUUCCCUUGUGGCCUGUGUGCAGGUGGUGCAUGGCUGUCGUCAGCUCGUGUCGUGAGAUGUUGGGUUAAGUCCCGCAACGAGCGCAACCCUUGUCUCAUGUUGCCAGCACGUGAUGGUGGGGACUCGUGAGAGACUGCCGGGGUCAACUCGGAGGAAGGUGGGGAUGACGUCAAGUCAUCAUGCCCCUUAUGUCCAGGGCUUCACACAUGCUACAAUGGCCGGUACAAAGGGCUGCGAUGCCGUGAGGUGGAGCGAAUCCUUUCAAAGCCGGUCUCAGUUCGGAUCGGGGUCUGCAACUCGACCCCGUGAAGUCGGAGUCGCUAGUAAUCGCAGAUCAGCAACGCUGCGGUGAAUACGUUCCCGGGCCUUGUACACACCGCCCGUCACGUCAUGAAAGUCGGUAACACCCGAAGCCAGUGGCCUAACCCGUAAGGGGGGGAGCUGUCGAAGGUGGGAUCGGCGAUUGGGACGAAGUCGUAACAAGGUAACC